CUCUAAUAUUAUUCGAGAUUGUGUAUUUUAAGGAAUAUAUACAGAGAAAUAUUAGAUAUUAAAGGGGUUUGCUCCAUCCUUAGAAUUGGUAAAUAUGAAUCAUAGAUGAGGUAUUUGUAGAUUUUCGAAGAUAUAGUAAUCUA
ncrna:unclassified sequences RT-14 RNA